GCCAUGUACUCACAGUCAAUGACAGACAUCGGCCACCCCAUCGGUGUCCAUCAUUAACUCCUUAAGUGCUGUAAACAAUGGCGAUCAUGGCACUUAACAGCCUCAAUGUCUGUCCACAACAUAUCUAUGGGGUCUGAAUGAUUUCUAUGACCCCCAGGCACAUGACUAAGGGGUCGUGCCCCUGAAAUGUAGCGCGGCAGGUUCCACAGAGACAGCCGAAGAGGCCGUUGAGCAUCUGGAUAGUGCACAGGACCAGAGAGAUACCGGUUGAGGCAAUGACCAUAGAGAAGAGGAUGACGUUGAAUUCCACCACAUCUUUGGGCAACUGGCAGGUGCUCCACAGGUCUCUAUGGAACAGGUUCCGCACAGGCAGCCGAAAAGACCGUUAAACAUCUGAACAGCGCACAGGAUCAGAGAGAUGGCGGUGGAAGCCAGGACCAUAGAGAACAGGAUGAUGUUAAACUCGGCCACUCCCUUGGGGCUCUCACAGGCAUCCCACAUGGUCUUGUUGAAUAGAUAAUUUUUGUCACUGCAAGAGCAAAGAGAAACAAAGGGUUAACCAGGUCCAAAAGCAGCGCCAUUUUUGAAUUUUUUUUCAUGACGAUCGUGUUAUACUCUAAUCACAUCCAGAGCUGCAUUCAUACUUCAGCUGAUUAGCAUUUUUAUUGCCUCCAUCUCAUUACUGCCCUCUGCUGCUUCUGUGUGUGUAUGGCAUGUUCAGCUGUGGGGC